AUGGCCGACGCGGGUCAAAGUGUAGUAUCUGUCCUUAUCAGCUUAAUAUCUGAUACGGGUUUUACUUUGACCCAAGAUAUGAAACUUAUUUUCGCAAGUUGGCGCGCAGUGCUUGAAGCCUGUUUCACAUCCGCCGCAGGACGGCCCGGUAUUGAACUAUCUUCGAGAUCGGCCCACGUUUU